ACCAAGGCUCUUUUCAGAGCCACCCACACGUUUCACAACGAGAGCU
rfam:Haliaeetus albicilla contig71370, whole genome shotgun sequence.